rnacentral:rRNA from 1 species
UAGGGAAUCUUCGGCAAUGGGGGGAACCCUGACCGAGCAACGCCGCGUGAGUGAAGAAGGUUUUCGGAUCGUAAAGCUCUGUUGUUAAGGAAGAACGAGUGUGAGAAUGGAAAGUUCAUGCUGUGACGGUACUUAACCAGAAAGCCACGGCUAACUACGUGCCAGCAGCCGCGGUAAUACGUAGGUGGCAAGCGUUGUCCGGAAUUAUUGGGCGUAAAGCGCGCGCAGGUGGUUUAGAAAGUCUGAUGUGAAAGCCCACGGCUCAACCGUGGAGGGUCAUUGGAAACUAAUAAACUUGAGUGCAGGAGAGAAAAGUGGAAUUCCUAGUGUAGCGGUGAAAUGCGUAGAGAUUAGGAGGAACACCGGUGGCGAAAGCGGCCUUUUGGCCUGCAACUGACACUGAGGCGCGAAAGCGUGGGGAGCAAACAGG